GCUUCCCGCGCGGCGCGCCGUGAUGACGUGGCGCGGGCGGGCUGGAGCUGGGUUGAAACUGGAGGAAGGGCUGCAGGCUGAGCUGCGCCGCAAGAGAUAAGAGAUGAGUGACAGGAAGGCCCACGGACAACCCCACGGUCCCAGACUGGCCUUCUGACCGUUUUGCUGGCUACCAUUCCAGCCCUACCCCUUCAUCCCGUUCCUGUCCUGAAUGCCUUGCGGUUUCGCGUCUGAAUACCAUCCUUCCGCAUGGUCAGUGGUCGGUUCACCUGUCAAAAUGAAGGCCAUGGGUGUUUCCCAACUCCAGAUCUUUGCCGCCAUGUCUCCACCAGGGACACCCUCUCCAUCCCACUCCUUAAGAAUAGGAAAUUGAGUCGAGGACUACGGGAGCAGGCCCUGGGUGUAGCACAGGGGGAUAGAGGUGAAGACCAAGAACAAACCCUCUCUUCUUUUCCUCAAGCUGAAAUUCAUCUCUUUUGCAAGAAAUGACAAGACACAGAGGAUGCCCAGCCCUAUGAGUACAAACCCUCCGUUGGCCAAUUUAACCCAGUCCCCUCCUUUCCCACUCUGCAGCUAUGAUCACAGAGGACAGGAAAAGGAGGGAGCAUCUCAGAUGAAAUUAAUGCUUCAGGGCAUGAGUGUUUACAGAUCCACCUUGAAACCCAGUGGGAGAGCACACCUCCUCCCCCCAACUUCCCUCCCUCUUCACACUUCCCACCAGAGCCCAAAUGGAGGGUGAAGCCACAGUGUACAGAGAGCCUGGAGUCCUCAGCCACUACAUGGAAGUCCACCUAUCAACCAGGAAUACCCACAUUUGUCUGUGAUGAGAGCAAGAAAUAAACUUUUAUUAGUAUGUGAAACCACUGACAUUGUGGGGUGGGUUUGUUACUGUAGAAGAAUUAAUUCCUGAAUACACAAUGUUGUGUGGAUUGAAUCUGUGUGGAGAUGGGCUCUGC